GGUCUUCAGUGCCCUCUAGUGGCUAAAUAACCCAACUGCGGUGCACAGAUCCGCCCGCAACAAAUGCUACGGUGGAACGCACACGGCUGGAGAUCGCUAUUCCCCCGCACUCAUGGAGAAAAACAUGCCUAGUGCUCCUCGGACUCGUGAUACGGCAGGACCGUCGUAAAAGCAUGUGACGUCAUCACCGCAGCAAACAGUAAGAACAAAGUGGAACUUAUCGGCAGA